rnacentral:rRNA from 1 species
UACGGAGGGUGCGAGCGUUUGUCCGGAAUCACUGGGGCGUAAAAGGGCGCGUAGGCGGCCUGAUAAGUAGGGGGGUGAAAUCCUGCGGCUUUAACCGCAGGGCUGCCUUCUAAACUGUCAGGCUGGAGCACAGUAAAGGCAGGUGGAAUUCCCGGGUGUAGCGGUGGAAUGCGUAGGAGAUCGGGGAAGAACAUCAGUGGGCGAAAGGCGGCCUGCUGGGGCUGUUGCUGACGCUGGAGGCGCGACAGCCGUGGGGGAGCAAACAGGGAUUAGAAACCCCC